GAGAGUAUAGCUUAGUGGUGGAGUACGUGCUUAGCAUGCAUGAGGCCCUGGGUUCACUCCCUAGGACCUUCA
rnacentral:tRNA from 1 species